ACUCCUACGGGAGGCAGCAGUGGGGAAUUUUGGACAAUGGGGGCAACCCUGAUCCAGCCAUGCCGCGUGAGUGAAGAAGGCCUUCGGGUUGUAAAGCUCUUUCGGCCGGGAAGAAAUCGGCGUCUCUAACAUAGGCGCUGGAUGACGGUACCGGACUAAGAAGCACCGCUAACUACGUGCCAGCAGCCGCGGUAAUAC
rnacentral:rRNA from 1 species